AUUGAACGCUGGCGGCAGGCCUAACACAUGCAAGUCGAGCGGAUGAAGGGAGCUUGCUCCUGGAUUCCGCGGCGGACAGGUGAGUAAUGCCUAGGAAUCUGCCUGGUAGUGGGGGAUAACGUCCGGAAACGGGCGCUAAUACCGCAUACGUCCUGAGGGAGAAAGUGGGGGAUCUUCGGACCUCACGCUAUCAGAUGAGCCUAGGUCGGAUUAGCUAGUUGGUGGGGUAAAGGCCUACCAAGGCGACGAUCCGUAACUGGUCUGAGAGGAUGAUCAGUCACACUGGAACUGAGACACGGUCCAGAGUCCUACGGGAGGCAGCAGUGGGGAAUAUUGGGCAAUGGGCGAAAGCCUGAUCCAGCCAUGCCGCGUGUGUGGAGAAGGUCUUCGGAUUGUAAAGCACUUUAAGUGGGGAGGAAGGGCAGUAAGUUAAUACCUUGCUGUUUUGACGUUACCAACAGAAUAAGCACCGGCUAACUUCGUG
rnacentral:rRNA from 1 species